UGGGGAAUCUUCCGCAAUGGGCGAAAGCCUGACGGAGCAAUGCCGCGUGAGUGAUGAAGGAAUUCGUUCCGUAAAGCUCUUUUGUUUAUGACGAAUGUGCAGGUUGUGAAUAAUGAUCUGUAAUGACGGUAGUAAACGAAUAAGCCACGGCUAACUACGUGCCAGCAGCCGCGGUAAUACGUAGGUGGCGAGCGUUGUCCGGAAUUAUUGGGCGUAAAGAGCAUGUAGGCGGUUUUUUAAGUCUGGAGUGAAAAUGCGGGGCUCAACCCCGUAUGGCUCUGGAUACUGGAAGACUUGAGUGCAGGAGAGGAAAGGGGAAUUCCCAGUGUAGCGGUGAAAUGCGUAGAUAUUGGGAGGAACACCAGUGGCGAAGGCGCCUUUCUGGACUGUGUCUGACGCUGAGAUGCGAAAGCCAGGGUAGCGAACGGG
rnacentral:rRNA from 1 species